rnacentral:tRNA from 1 species
UCCCUGGUAGCUCAGAUGGUAAGGUGUCUGCCUGCAAUGCGGGAGACCCAGGUUCAAUCCCUGGGCUGGGAA